CGAACCGAGGGCGGGCGGGCGGGGGGGAACGUUGGGGGUGAGAGUGGUCGGGAAUCAUUGUGGGUAAAGAGCUCGUAGGCGGUUCGGCAAGUCGGAUGUGAAAUCUCCACGCUCAACGUGGAGGGGCCAUUCGAAACUGCCGUGACUUGAGUCCGGUAGGGGAGUGCGGAAUUCCCGGUGUAGCGGUGAAAUGCGCAGAUAUCGGGAGGAACACCAGUGGCGAAGGCGGCACUCUGGGCCGGCACUGACGCUGAGGAGCGAAAGCGUGGGGAGCGAACAGGAUUAGAUACCCGGGUAGUC
rnacentral:rRNA from 1 species